rnacentral:rRNA from 1 species
AGUCGAACGGUAGCACAGAGAGCUUGCUCUUGGGUGACGAGUGGCGGACGGGUGAGUAAUGUCUGGGAAACUGCCUGAUGGAGGGGGAUAACUACUGGAAACGGUAGCUAAUACCGCAUAACGUCUUCGGACCAAAGUGGGGGACCUUCGGGCCUCACACCAUCGGAUGUGCCCAGAUGGGAUUAGCUAGUAGGUGGGGUAAUGGCUCACCUAGGCGACGAUCCCUAGCUGGUCUGAGAGGAUGACCAGCCACACUGGAACUGAGACACGGUCCAGACUCCUACGGGAGGCAGCAGUGGGGAAUAUUGCACAAUGGGCGCAAGCCUGAUGCAGCCAUGCCGCGUGUAUGAAGAAGGCCUUCGGGUUGUAAAGUACUUUCAGCGGGGAGGAAGGCGAUAAGGUUAAUAACCUUGUCGAUUGACGUUACCCGCAGAAGAAGCACCGGCUAACUCCGUGCCAGCAGCCGCGGUAAUACGGAGGGUGCAAGCGUUAAUCGGAAUUACUGGGCGUAAAGCGCACGCAGGCGGUCUGUCAAGUCAGAUGUGAAAUCCCCGGGCUUAACCUGGGAACUGCAUUUGAAACUGGCAGGCUAGAGUCUUGUAGAGGGGGGUAGAAUUCCAGGUGUAGCGGUGAAAUGCGUAGAGAUCUGGAGGAAUACCGGUGGCGAAGGCGGCCCCCUGGACAAAGACUGACGCUCAGGUGCGAAAGCGUGGGGAGCAAACAGGAUUAGAUACCCCUGGUAGUCCACGCCGUAAACGAUGUCGACUUGGAGGUUGUGCCCUUGAGGCGUGGCUUCCGGAGCUAACGCGUUAAGUCGACCGCCUGGGGAGUACGGCCGCAAGGUUAAAACUCAAAUGAAUUGACGGGGGCCCGCACAAGCGGUGGAGCAUGUGGUUUAAUUCGAUGCAACGCGAAGAACCUUACCUGGCCUUGACAUCCACGGAAUUCGGCAGAGAUGCCUUAGUGCCUUCGGGAACCGUGAGACAGGUGCUGCAUGGCUGUCGUCAGCUCGUGUUGUGAAAUGUUGGGUUAAGUCCCGCAACGAGCGCAACCCUUAUCCUUUGUUGCCAGCGAGUAAUGUCGGGAACUCAAAGGAGACUGCCGGUGACAAACCGGAGGAAGGUGGGGAUGACGUCAAGUCAUCAUGGCCCUUACGGCCAGGGCUACACACGUGCUACAAUGGCGCAUACAAAGAGAAGCGAACUCGCGAGAGCAAGCGGACCUCACAAAGUGCGUCGUAGUCCGGAUCGGAGUCUGCAACUCGACUCCGUGAAGUCGGAAUCGCUAGUAAUCGUAGAUCAGAAUGCUACGGUGAAUACGUUCCCGGGCCUUGUACACACCGCCCGUCACACCAUGGGAGUGGGUUGCAAAAGAAGUAGGUAGCUUAACCUUCGGGAGGGCGCU